rnacentral:rRNA from 1 species
UACAGGGGGUGCAAACGUUGCUCGGAAUCAUUGGGCGUAAAGCGCACGUAGGCGGUUCGUUAUGUCGGAUGUGAAAGCCCUUGGCUUAACCGAGGAAGUGCAUCCGAAACUGGCGAGCUAGAGUACGAAAGAGGAUCGCGGAAUUCCCGGUGUAGAGGUGAAAUUCGUAGAUAUCGGGAGGAACACCGGUGGCGAAGGCGGCGAUCUGGGUCGAUACUGACGCUGAGGUGCGAAAGCUAGGGGAGCAAACGGGG